rnacentral:rRNA from 1 species
CCCUUAGAUGUUCUGGGCCGCACGCGCGCUACACUGAUGCAUUCAACGAGCCUAGCCUUGACCGAGAGGUCCGGGUAAUCUUUGAAACUGCAUCGUGAUGGGGCUAGAUUAUUGCAAUUAUUAAUCUUCAACGAGGAAUGCCUAGUAAGCGUGAUUCAUCAAAUCGCGUUGAUUACGUCCCUGCCCUUUGUGCACACCGCCCGUCGCUCCUACCGAUUGAGUGUGUUGGUGAGGAGUUUGGAUUGGCCUCGGAAGGUGGUUCGCCACCGUCCGUAGCUGAGAAGUUCUCCAAACCGCCCCACUUAGAGGAAGGAGAAGUCGUAACA